GCUCUUGAUUGCGGGGACUAACUCCUCCGACCUUCAGCAGAUCCUGAGCCUACUCGAAUCCAACAAAGACUUGCUGUUGACUAGCUCAUACCUGUCUGAUUCUGGUUCUACUGGGGAGCAUACAAAAUCCCUAGUCACACAGUAUUUGAAUGCCACUGGCAAUCGCUGGUGCAGCUGGAGUUUGUCUCAGGCAAGGCUCCUGACUUCCUUCUUGCCGGCUCAACUUCUCCGACUCUACCAGCUGAUGCUCUUCACCCUGCCAGGGACCCCUGUUUUCAGCUACGGGGAUGAGAUUGGCCUGGAUGCAGCUGCCCUUCCUGGACAGCCUCACGAAGGGCUGCUGCUCCGCUUCCCCUACGCGGCCUGACUUCAGCCUGACAUGGACCCACUACCCUUCUCCUUUCCUUCCCAGGCCCUUUGGCUUCUGAUUUUUCUCUUUUUUAAAAACAAACAAACAAACUGUUGCAGAUUAUGAGUGAACCCCCAAAUAGGGUGUUUUCUGCCUUCAAAUAAAAGUCACCCCUGCAUGGUGAA
rnacentral:lncRNA from 1 species